GGGCUUGAAUUGGAUCUACCCAAAACCAAUUAACGUCCGUCAAAAGGUUCAUCGACUGAGGCUCAUCGGAAUCCGAUAUCGGCAACCUCCACUUACGGCGGCGAGGAACCUUCGAGAUCUUCGGAACUCGAAUUUCGACGAUGGGGGGGGUCCCCACCUCUCCCNNNNNNNNNNNNNNCAAUGGGAAUCCGAUAUCGGCAACCUCCACUUACGGCGGCGAGGAACCUUCGAGAUCUUCGGAACUCGAAUUUCGACGAUGGAGUGGCUCCAAACUCUACCACCACCCUCUAACCUCUCACACUCCGCACGCUCCUUCCUCGACGGCAAAUUCCACACCAAAACCACCCUCGCCGGGGCUACCACUUUCGUCGCCG
rnacentral:lncRNA from 1 species